CCUACGGAUGGCAGCAGUGGGGGAUAUUGCACAAUGGGGGGAACCCUGAUGCAGCGACGCCGCGUGGGUGAAGGAGUACUUCGGCAUGUAAAGCCCUAUCGGCAGGGAAGAAGAAAGACGAUACCUGACUAAGAAGACCCGGCUAACUACGUGACAGCAGCCGCGGUAAUACGUAGGGGGCGAGCGUUAUCCGGAUGCACUGGGUGUAAAGGGAGCGUAGACGGCCAUGCAUGCCAGGGGUGAAAGCCCGGGGCCCAACACCGGGACUGCCCUUGGAACUGCAUGGCUGGAGUGCGGGAGGGGCAGGCUGAAGUCGUGGUGUAGCGGUGAAAUGCGUAGAUAUCAGGAGGAACACCGGCGGCGAAGGCGGCCUGCUGGACCGCGACUGACGUUGAGGCUCGAAAGCGUGGGGAGCGAACAGGAUUAGAUACCCGAGUAGUC
rnacentral:rRNA from 1 species